rnacentral:lncRNA from 1 species
GGGCUCCGGCCCCAAUUUCUCGCAAGCUGAGCGCACCCCGGGCGAGGAGUCGCCUCGACCGGGCGCACCUCCUGUGGUCAGUCUCGGGCGCUGGUUCCCCACGCUGGCCCUGUCAGGGCGCAGUCGGUCAGCUUUUCAUUAGCAGAAAACCCCGGUCGGCACGCCGGCGCCGCGCAGACGUCUCGGUUCAGGGUGAAGCCGUCGCCAGCUCCGGGGGGUGGGCAAGACCGCUUGGGGGCAACAGGAGCCUGUUUCUUGUUGAAUGCCGCCGCAGCGUCAGGGAGCGCUGGAACACGUGGCAGUGGUGGACUCUGCUUGACCUUGGGCUGACUCCAGGCUCCCAUCAGUGGAUUAGGGCACUCAAACUCGCCUCACACCGACCAGUGCCCGAUCCAAAUCCAGAUCCCUCUGGACUCAGCCCCCUGCAGGGAGUCCCGGGUUCCAAGCUGUACAUGUUUCCAGAAACAUCCCGACUAAAAAGCUAUUUUCAAAGAGAUGCUGUAUCUCCAGGAGCACAUUGGUAUCCUGACAGAUAAGCCAGAGCUAUGCAACUUUAAACAGGCAAGGACAGAUGGGGCACUCUAACAAGGCUAGUACUCUCCUGGACACACUCAAGUCUCACAGUGAUUAAAAUGUACUAGGGCUUUUUUUUAAUCAGGUGUGAUAAGACACACACAGAAAUGGAUGUAAUGAAAGAAUUUGGUUUAUGGACACAAGUCCCUAGAAACAAGAAGCAGGGCAUGCCACACAGGGCCAACUGGGAAGGAUCAGGAGUGGUCAGGGCAGAAAUUUACCCCUGGUUUCUGGUUGAAGGACAGAUGGUACCCAGAUAUCUUGUUAGAAAAAACAUUUUCUAUGCACAGGCACCCAUAGAGUUCUGUCCAUGUGUUCUACCUUGCAUGGUGGGAGCAAAACCAUUGUAACAGACUCAACUGCUGAAAAUCCAGCAGCUCGGAGGCUGAAGCAGGUGGAUUGCAAGUUCAAACCAGCCUCAGCAAGAACAAGGCACUAAGCAACUCAGUGAAACCCUGUCUCUAAAUAAAAUACAAAAUAGGGCUGGGGAUGUGGCUCA